GACGAACGCUGGCGGCGUGCUUAACACAUGCAAGUCGAACGGAAAGGCCCUGCUCUUGUGGUGUUCUCGAGUGGCACGCGGGUGAGACACACGUGAAUCACCUGCCCUUGACUUUGGUAUAACUUGAGGACACUGGGUCUAAUCCCAGAUAGGCUCCCCUGCUGCGUGGGGGGGGUUGGAAUGUUUCGGCGGUUGGGUAUGGUCUCGGGGCUUCUCCGCUUGUUGGGGGGGUAGUGGUUUCCAAAGGUUUUGGCGGGGAGCCGGCCUGAGGGGGGGACCGGCAACAUUGGGACUGAGAUACGCCCAAGACUCCUACGGGAGGCAGCAGUGGGAAAUAUUGCAAAAUGGGGGGAAGCCUGAUGCAGCAACGCCGCGUGCGGGAUGACGGCCUUCGGGUUGUAAACCGCUUCCGCCUGUGACGAAGCGUGAGUGACGGUAAUGGGUAAAGAAGCACCGGCUAACUACGUG
rnacentral:rRNA from 1 species